rnacentral:rRNA from 1 species
AUACAGGGGGUGCGAGCGUUAAUCGGAAUUACUGGGCGUAAAGAGUACGUAGGCGGUUGCUUAAGUCGGAUGUGAAAGCCCCGGGCUCAACCUGGGAACUGCAUUUGAAACUGAGUGACUAGAGUUUAAGAGAGGGGAGUAGAAUUCCGGGUGUAGCGGUGAAAUGCGUAGAGAUCCGGAGGAAUACCAGUGGCGAAGGCGGCUCCCUGGCUUAAAACUGACGCUGAGGUACGAAAGCGUGGGUAGCAAACAGGAUUAGAAACCCCGGUAGUCC